AAAUUGAAGAGUUUGAUCAUGGCUCAGAUUGAACGCUGGCGGCAGGCCUAACACAUGCAAGUCGAACGGUAACAGGAAGAAGCUUGCUUCUUUGCUGACGAGUGGCGGACGGGUGAGUAAUGUCUGGGAAACUGCCCGAUGGAGGGGGAUAACUACUGGAAACGGUAGCUAAUACCGCAUAACGUCGCAAGACCAAAGAGGGGGACCUUCGGGCCUCUUGCCAUCGGAUGUGCCCAGAUGGGAUUAGCUUGUUGGUGAGGUAACGGCUCACCAAGGCGACGAUCCCUAGCUGGUCUGAGAGGAUGACCAGCCACACUGGAACUGAGACACGGUCCAGACUCCUACGGGAGGCAGCAGUGGGGAAUAUUGCACAAUGGGCGCAAGCCUGAUGCAGCCAUGCCGCGUGUAUGAAGAAGGCCUUCGGGUUGUAAAGUACUUUCAGCGGGGAGGAAGGGAGUAAAGUUAAUACCUUUGCUCAUUGACGUUACCCGCAGAAGAAGCACCGGCUAACUCCGUGCCAGCAGCCGCGGUAAUACGGAGGGUGCAAGCGUUAAUCGGAAUUACUGGGCGUAAAGCGCACGCAGGCGGUU
rnacentral:rRNA from 1 species